rnacentral:rRNA from 1 species
CCCUUAGACGUUCUGGGCCGCACGCGCGCUACACUGUCCAGUGCAACAAGCAUCCGUCCUUGGCCGACAGGCCCGGGCAAUCUUUGAACGCUGGUCGUGAUGGGGAUAGACUUUUGCAAUUUUUGGUCUUCAACGAGGAAUUCCUAGUAAACGCAAGUCAUCAACUUGCAUUGAUUACGUCCCUGCCCUUUGUACACACCGCCCGUCGCACCUACCGAUUGAAUGGUCCAGUGAAGCCUCCGGAUUGGCGCGCACCUCGGUGCCGCCGAGAAGUUGGCUAAACCUUACCAUUUAGAGGAAGGUGAAGUCGUAACA